ACUCCUACGGGAGGCAGCAGUGGGGAAUCUUGCGCAAUGGGCGAAAGCCUGACGCGGCGACGCCGCGUGAGUGAUGAAGGCCCUCGGGUUGUAAAGCUCUGUGGAGGGGGACGAAUAAGUGUCGUCGAAUAGACGGCAUGAUGACGGUACCCCUUUAGCAAGCACCGGCUAACUCUGUGCCAGCAGCCGCGGUAAGACAGAGGGUGCAAACGUUGUUCGGAAUUACUGGGCGUAAAGCGCGUGUAGGCUGCUCGGAAAGUCGGAUGUGAAAGCCCUGGGCUCAACCCAGGAAGAGCAUUCGAAACUCCCGAGCUCGAGUACCGGAGAGGAAGGCGGAAUUCUCGGUGUAGAGGUGAAAUUCGUAGAUAUCGAGAGGAACACCUGUGGCGAAGGCGGCCUUCUGGACGGUUACUGACGCUGAGACGCGAAAGCGUGGGGAGCAAACAGGAUUAGAUACCCUGGUAGUCCACGCCGUAAACGAUGGGUGCUAGGUGUCGCGGGAUUUGACCCCUGCGGUGCCGUAGCUAACGCAUUAAGCACCCCGCCUGGGGAGUACGGCCGCAAGGCUAAAACUCAAAUGAAUUGACGG
rnacentral:rRNA from 1 species